rnacentral:rRNA from 1 species
CACACGACUCUCGGCAACGGAUAUCUCGGCUCUCGCAUCGAUGAAGAACGUAGCGAAAUGCGAUACCUGGUGUGAAUUGCAGAAUCCCGUGAACCAUCGAGUCUUUGAACGCAAGUUGCGCCCGAGGCCAUCCGGCCGGGGGCACGCCUGCCUGGGUGUCACGC